AUUGAACGCUGGCGGCAUGCCUUACACAUGCAAGUCGGACGGUAACAGGUCUUCGGAUGCUGACGAGUGGCGAACGGGUGAGUAAUACAUCGGAACGUGCCUAGUAGAGGGGGAUAACUACUCGAAAGAGUGGCUAAUACCGCAUGAGAUCUACGGAUGAAAGCAGGGGAUCGCAAGACCUUGUGCUACUCGAGCGGCCGAUGGCAGAUUAGGUAGUUGGUGGGAUAAAAGCUUACCAAGCCGACGAUCUGUAGCUGGUCUGAGAGGACGAUCAGCCACACUGGGACUGAGACACGGCCCAGACUCCUACGGGAGGCAGCAGUGGGGAAUUUUGGACAAUGGGCGCAAGCCUGAUCCAGCAAUGCCGCGUGCAGGAUGAAGGCCUUCGGGUUGUAAACUGCUUUUGUACGGAACGAAAAGCCCCGGGUUAAUACCCUGGGGUCAUGACGGUACCGUAAGAAUAAGCACCGGCUAACUACGUGCCAGCAGCCGCCGUAA
rnacentral:rRNA from 1 species